rnacentral:lncRNA from 1 species
CCUUUAUAUAUGUUAUGUAUUAUCAGAAAAUACAACUUACAUUACAAUAUUAAGGAUGAACACGAAUGCGGUCACUUUCGUUUUACACGAAAACCGUCUAAAACUUAACUAAAUUGCUAGAAUUGUGAAGAUCUCGGUAAUUUAGUAUGACUUAAUGGUGCUAGUACACGAUAUAUGUGUAUUGUAUUGUAAAAACGGGUGGCCAUAUUUAUGUAGCAGAAGCAUUCUACUGUCUAAUAAAUAACUAAAAGUUUACAUUUUAACAAUUUGGUAAAACUGCUAUAUUUUGGGGCCACAAAGGGGUCUUACUGAACCUACUUCUUUAAAAGGAUAAAAAAAAAAAAAUACAAAUUAUAAAAAGGGGAAAUCCAUAGAAAACUGACAAAGAUAAACGCUAUCAACCAACCGCACAAUAAAAAAAAAACAAAUGAAAAGUAACAAUACAUUCAUUAGGAUCUAGUAACCAAACUAUGUAAACAAACAUCACAGACAUACAACAUAACAUUGAGAAAGGAAAAAGGGAAUCUGCUAAAGAGACAACAACACUACCAAAUAGCAGAAAAAUGCUCCAGUCCAACAAUAGGGUCUUCAACACAGCGAAAAACGCACCCGUAGGCGAGCUUCUGUAAGCCAUAUUUGAUGAAGAAGUGGAAAUCUGUUCUACUUAACAAAUACACAACC